CGCGUACCAUUAGCUAGUUGGUGGGGUAAAGGCCUACCAAGGCAACGAUGUAUAUCCGGUCUGAGAGGAUGAUCGGACACACUGGAACUGAGACACGGUCCAGACUCCUACGGGAGGCAGCAGUGGGGAAUAUUGCGCAAUGGGGGAAACCCUGACGCAGCAACGCCGCGUGAGUGAGGAAGGACUUCGGUCUGUAAAGCUCUGUUAAUGUGGAAAAAUGGUAGUUGGUCUAAUAGGCCGAUUAUUUGAUGGUACACAUAGAGGAAGCACCGGCUAACUUCGUGCCAGCAGCCGCGGUAAUACGAAGGGUGCAAGCGUUGUUCGGAUUUAUUGGGCGUAAAGCGCGCGUAGGCGGACCUGUAAGUCAGAUGUGAAAUCUCGGGGCUCAACCUCGAAACUGCGUCUGAAACUGCAGGUCUAGAAUCUUGGAGGGGGAAGNNNGGAAUUUCGCAUGUAGGGGUAAAAUCCGUAGAUAUGCGAAGGAACACCAGAGGCGAAGGCGCCUUCCUGGACAAGUAUUGACGCUGAGGCGCGAAAGCGUGGGGAUCAAACAGGAUUAGAUACCCUGGUAGUCCACGCUGUAAACGAUGAUACUAGGUAUUGGAGGAUUUGACCCCUGCAGUGCCGAAGCUAACGCAUUAAGUACCCCGCCUGGGGAGUACGGUCGCAAGACUAAAACUCAAAGGAAUUGACGGGGGCCCGCACAAGCGGUGGAGCAUGUGGUUUAAUUCGAAGCAACGCGCAGAACCUUACCUAGGCUUGAAAUCCCACGAACCUGCUAGAUUGUGAAAGCAGUCCUUCUUCGGACGAUCUACAAGGUGCUGCAUGGUUGUCGUCAGCUCGUGCCGUGAGGUGUCGGGUUAAGUCCCAUAACGAGCGCAACCCUUAUCGUUAGUUGCCAGCGGGUCAUGCCGGGGACUCUAAGGAGACUGCCGGUGUUAAACCGGAGGAAGGUGGGGAUGACGUCAAGUCCUCAUGGCCCUUAUGUCCAGGGCUACACACGUGCUACAAUGGCCGGUACAAAGGGCAGCAAAGCCGCGAGGUGGAGCCAAUCCCAAAAAGCCGGUCUCAGUUCGGAUUGGAGUCUGCAACUCGACUCCAUGAAGUUGGAAUCGCUAGUAAUCGCGCAUCAGCCAUGGCGCGGUGAAUACGUUCCCGGGCCUUGUACACACCGCCCGUCACACCACGAAAGUCGGCAACACCCGAAGCCGGUGACUCAACCCGAAAGGGAGAGAGCCGUCGAAGGUGGGGUUGGUAAUUGGGGUGAAGUCGUAACAAGGUAACC
rnacentral:rRNA from 1 species